CCUACGGGGGGCAGCAGUCGAGAAUCAUUCACAAUGGGGGAAACCCUGAUGGGGCGACGCCGCGUGGGGGAAUGAAGGUCUGCGGAUUGUAAACACCUGUCAUGUGGGAGCAAAUGAAAAAGAUAGUACCACAAGAGGAAGAAACGGCCAACUCGGGUCCAGCAGCCGCGGUAAUACAGAGGUCUCAAGCGUUGUUCGGAAUCACUGGGCGUAAAGCGGGCGUAGGCUGUUUCGUAAGUCGUGUGUGAAAGGCGCGGGCUCAACCCGCGGACGGCACAUGAGACUGCGAGACUAGAGUAAUGGAGGGGGAACCGGAAUUCUCGGUGUAGCCGUGAAAUGCGUAGAUAUCGAGAGGAACACUCGUGGCGAAGGCGGGUUCCUGGACAUUAACUGACGCUGAGGCACGAAGGCCAGGGGAGCGAAAGGGAUUAGAUACCCUUGUAGUC
rnacentral:rRNA from 1 species